rnacentral:tRNA from 1 species
CGGGUGUAGUUCAAUGGUAGAACAUCAGCUUCCCAAGCUGAAUACGAGGGUUCGAUUCCCUCCAUCCG